rnacentral:rRNA from 1 species
AGCAGCCGCGGUAAUUCCAGCUCCAAUAGCGUAUAUUAAAGUUGCUGCAGUUAAAAAGCUCGUAGUUGAAUUUCGGGACCAAUAUGUCGGUCGUGCCUCGGUACGUACUGGCAUCGUUGGUUUCUCCCUUCUGACGAACCAUGAUGUCAUUCAUUUGGUGUCGUGGGGAAUCAGGACUGUUACUUUGAAAAAAUUAGAGUGUUUAAAGCAGGCUCACGCUUGAAUACAUUAGCAUGGAAUAAUGAAAUAGGACGUUUGAUUCUAUUUUGUUGGUUUCUAGGAUCGUCGUAAUGAUUAAUAGGGAUAGUUGGGGGCAUUAGUAUUCAAUUGUCAGAGGUGAAAUUCUUGGAUUUAUUGAAGACUAACUACUGCGAAAGCAUUUGCCAAGGAUGUUUUCAUUAAUCAAGAACGAAAGUUAGGGGAUCGAAGACGAUCAGAUACCGUCGUAGUCUUAACCAUAAACUAUGCCGACUAGGGAUCGGAUGAUGUUAAUUUUUUAAUGACUCA